AUUGAACGCUGGCGGCAGGCCUAACACAGUCGAGCGGAAACGAGUUAUCUGAACCUUCGGGGGACGAUAACGGCGUCGAGCGGCGGACGGGUGAGUAAUGCCUAGGAAAUUGCCCUGAUGUGGGGGAUAACCAUUGGAAACGAUGGCUAAUACCGCAUGAUGCCUACGGGCCAAAGAGGGGGACCUUCGGGCCUCUCGCGUCAGGAUAUGCCUAGGUGGGAUUAGCUAGUUGGUGAGGUAAUGGCUCACCAAGGCGACGAUCCCUAGCUGGUCUGAGAGGAUGAUCAGCCACACUGGAACUGAGACACGGUCCAGACUCCUACGGGAGGCAGCAGUGGGGAAUAUUGCACAAUGGGCGCAAGCCUGAUGCAGCCAUGCCGCGUGUGUGAAGAAGGCCUUCGGGUUGUAAAGCACUUUCAGUCGUGAGGAAGGUAGUGUAGUUAAUAGCUGCAUUACUUGACGUUAGCGACAGAAGAAGCACCGGCUAACUCCGUGCCAGCAGCCGCGGUAAUACGGAGGGUGCGAGCGUUAAUCGGAAUUACUGGGCGUAAAGCGCAUGCAGGUGGUUUGUUAAGUCAGAUGUGAAAGCCCGGGGCUCAACCUCGGAAUAGCAUUUGAAACUGGCAGACUAGAGUACUGUAGAGGGGGGUAGAAUUUCAGGUGUAGCGGUGAAAUGCGUAGAGAUCUGAAGGAAUACCGGUGGCGAAGGCGGCCCCCUGGACAGAUACUGACACUCAGAUGCGAAAGUGUGGGGAGCAAACAGGAUUAGAUACCCUGGUA
rnacentral:rRNA from 1 species